rnacentral:ribozyme from 14 species
AAGAAAAGAAAGAAGAAGAAGGACAAAGAAAAAAAAAAGUAAGUAAAAAGCAAAAUUUAACGGUGAUUUGUUUGCAUUAUUUUUCUUAUUGCUAUUUUUAAUAUGUGCAAAGUCGAGUAUUUUAUUGGUUGAUGAAGAGGGAGAUCCUGCUGAAACGUCAGUAGAGGCAAAAGCGCCACCAAUUUCAAAGU